AAUCUCGAAAGCCUGUCUCAGUUCGGAUUGGAGGCUGAAACCCGCCUCCAUGAAGUUGGAUUCGCUAGUAAUCGCGCAUCAGCCAUGGCGCGGUGAAUACGUUCCCGGGCCUUGUACACACCGCCCGUCAAGCCAUGGAAGCUGGGGGUGCCUGAAGUUCGUGACCGGAAGGAGCGACCUAGGGCAAAACCGGUGACUGGGGCUAAGUCGUAACAAGGUAGC
rnacentral:rRNA from 1 species